UGGGGAAUCUUGCGCAAUGGCCUAACGGCUGACGCAGCGACGCCGCGUGAGGGAUGACGCUCUUCGGAGUGUAAACCUCUUUUGACCGGAACGAAUUGCCACCAUCAGGUGGCUUGACGGUACCGGUUGAAUAAGCACCGGCUAACUCCGUGCCAGCAGCCGCGGUAAUACGGGGGGUGCGAGCGUUGUCCGGAAUCACUGGGCGUAAAGGGCGCGUAGGUGGCGUGAUAAGGGUGUGGUGAAAGCCCGGGGCUCAACCCCGGGUCUGCCAUGCCGACUGUCAGGCUCGAGUACUGUAGGGGCAGGCGGAAUUCCGGGUGUAGCGGUGGAAUGCGUAGAGAUCCGGAGGAAGACCGGUGGCGAAGGCGGCCUGCUGGGCAGUUACUGACACUGAGGCGCGACAGCGUGGGGAGCAAACAG
rnacentral:rRNA from 1 species